ACUGGUCAGGGCCACGCCUCACAAUCCAAGGGGCACCUUGGGCGGGGCUCUGUGGUUCCUGAGCUGUGCUGUGAAGAAGUCACAUCAGAGACGUCAUACCCACUGGAAGGGCUGUGUCACAGUGGCCUAUGAACCACAUGCUGCCUGCACUGUCUCUUGUCUUCAACCUUACAAAGACCCAGAAAGUCCCUGGGGAAAUAGAGGCAGUGGGAGUCAAGAGUGCAGAGGACAGAUUGGGGCAAAAUGUGAAUAGGGGCAGAUGACAUUUAUUUGGCAGAGAAGAAAGGUACAUAGAUUGGGCAGGACCUUGAGGAAGGGUUACGUCCCUUUAGUAUAGGAGAGCCUUGAGCAAAUUUGAGCCUAAGCAAAAAGCACCCAGGUAGAGGAACAGAUUUAGAAUGUAAAAGAAAAAAAGAAUGACUAAUGAAACUAGAUCCUGAAGGAGAUGGACAGAGAUGGAAGUGAAAACUCAAGAUCUUGCAAUUUGCCUGGUGAGAAGCAAUGGCAUGGAGUAGACAAGUAUUGUUUUGUCUGUCCCAGCAUCCCCUCCUUUUCUAGGACUUUCUCCUUCUCCAGUGAGGACUGCCCACCUUCCACCUUUCCCUGCCCCCAAUUCCAUUCAGGUGGCUACCAUAGAAACAGUCACAGUAAUACAUAGUGACCCGUCUCUGUGGCUAGAGUUCAUGGGUCCAGGAGCGGGUUUUGAGCCAAGUUGGCUCAUCAGAAUGCAUCAGUGGGAACUGGAAUUAGAAUGGAGUUCUCCCAGCUGCAUCUCGCUGCCUGAUGGAAUAGUAAUUUAAACCUGGGCACUACUGGCAACCUGUUCGAGUGGCUGGAGGAGGAGACAGAACUGGUAUACAGUGCAAGAGGAUAAAGAAGCAGUCCCAAAGACGGCUAUGUAGAUGAGUCAAGACAAGCUCCAGCUAUAAUAAAGUCACAUUUUUGCUUAAGCUAGUUUGAGUUAGAUUUCUGUGAUUUAAAACCAAGUGUCCUUACAAAACUCUAUGCCAAGAAAAAGGGGCAUGUGGGGAGUAUAUAUGAAAACCUGGACAUGUUUUGAGGAUGAGAGAAGGCUGAAACAGUUUAUACUUCUGAGAGAUGUGGGAGGAAAAGUUGUCUACUGAAAAUGAGAGGGCAGGGACCUUGAAGAAAGUGGAAAAGGCUGGGACCAGCGAGAAUAUCAUCCUUUUUACUAAAUUCUCUAAUCAUUAUAGCAGUUGGAGGCACGGAUCUGAACCGUAGUAUAUAUUCUAUAGGUGGGACAGUCAUUGCAAGGAAAGUUCCAGACUGGACACCAAGAAGAGCCAGAGAUGUUUAAUCUUUCUCAUUAGCAAUGCAGCCUGGGAACAAAUGACACAGAAGUUAGAGGACAAUUGGCCUUCCUCUGAAGUAUAAAAAGUUCCGUGAAAGCAAGGACCAUCCCUUUUCAUCUCUGUGUCUCUUGCCGCUAGCCUGGUGCCACGAAGUCAGUGCUCAGCACAUGUUUGUUGAAGGAUGUUGUUGAAGACCCCGCCCAUGGCUGUCCACCAUCUAGUCCAUCCGGAACACCUCAGCACCAAGUUCAGGCUUCCAUCUUCUUGCUGUAGCGAGGUCAGCUUGCGGUGGAAUCCUCAAGGAAAGACUCCCCACAGCAACACAACUUAAACAAAGUGGAUGGAGAGGAGAAAGGAAGGCACUGCCGGCAAUGUGAACGACAUGAGCAAAGUUAGAGGGACAUGGGUAAUGACAGUGAUGAUGAUGUGGUGGUGGGGAUGAUGAGGAUGGCUACCAUUCAUCGAGAGUCUGCUGCGCGCC
ensembl:lncRNA